CUCGAUCGCGACUGAAUUGCACAAUCGAGUCUUCGUCGACAUUGAUCCUCGCUCGUUUUCUACCAAAGAAAACGAAAAGUCACAAUGAUGACGAUGAUAAUAAAGACUAUCUUUUACUUGCAACUAUCGUUGGUUGAUGAACCUGGUGAUGUAUAUCCUGCGACAACUGACAUUCUUUUUAAUGCAGAUGAGAAAUGAUGUCUUUGUAAAAUCUUUAGUACAGUGAGGCUCCAAUUUACAGCUUUCAGUGUAGCUUUCUCAAGUGGAUCUCCGACUAUUCCAUCGUCCAACUGAACAAGAGAAUGGCAUGUUGCAAGUACUUGCACACUUUCUAAACGUGCAUCUGAGAUUGGCAUCACAUCUGUUUUACCACUAAAAUACGUAAAGUAUAAGAAUCAAUAAAUUUACUUUUUAAUUUUUA